GACGAACGCUGGCGGCGUGCUUAACACAUGCAAGUCGAACGGUAAGGCCCUUCGGGGUACACGAGUGGCGAACGGGUGAGUAACACGUGGGUGAUCUGCCCUGCACUUCGGGAUAAGCCUGGGAAACUGGGUCUAAUACCGGAUAGGACCACUGCCUGCAUGGGUGGUGGUGGAAAGCUUUUGCGGUGUGGGAUGGGCCCGCGGCCUAUCAGCUUGUUGGUUGGGUGAUGGCCUACCAAGGCGACGACGGGUAGCCGGCCUGAGAGGGUGACCGGCCACACUGGGACUGAGAUACGGCCCAGACUCCUACGGGAGGCAGCAGUGGGGAAUAUUGCACAAUGGGCGGAAGCCUGAUGCAGCGACGCCGCGUGAGGGAUGACGGCCUUCGGGUUGUAAACCUCUUUCAGCACCGACGAAGCGCAAGUGACGGUAGGUGCAGAAGAAGGACCGGCCAACUACGUGCCAGCCGCCGCGGUAA
rnacentral:rRNA from 1 species